UAAAAAAGGUAAAAGUGCAAUAAGUAGUCCAUAAGAAAUAGAUUCAACACAGAUCCAAGAUUGCUGCUUUUGGAUGGCACAACUAGCCAUUGUUCCCGCAGUCCAUGUUGUCUGCCUGACACUAAGUAGUCCAUAAGAAACUGCUCUUACACACCGUACCUACUAGCCAUAGUUGCCGCAGCCCCUGUUUCCUCACACUAAGUAUUCCAUAAGAAACUGCCGUUACACACCGUGCCUAUGCCUAAAUUUCUGCCUUUGGAAAGAUGUGCUGCUGCU
rnacentral:sRNA from 1 species